AGAAAUUUAGCUAGCUUGAAUAUGCGGCGGACCUCCCAGGGCCGCCAGGCCGGUGCCUUUCAGGCAAUUUCCACC
rnacentral:tRNA from 1 species